rnacentral:rRNA from 1 species
CCUACGGGCGGCAGCAGUGGGGAAUAUUGGACAAUGGGGGCAACCCUGAUCCAGCCAUGCCGCGUGUGUGAAGAAGGCCCUCGGGUUGUAAAGCACUUUCAGUGAGGAAGAACGCCUGGUGGUUAAUACCCAUCAGGAAAGACAUCACUCACAGAAGAAGCACCGGCUAACUCCGUGCCAGCAGCCGCGGUAAUACGGAGGGUGCGAGCGUUAAUCGGAAUUACUGGGCGUAAAGCGCGCGUAGGUGGCUUGAUAAGCCGGUUGUGAAAGCCCCGGGCUCAACCUGGGAACGGCAUCCGGAACUGUCAAGCUAGAGGGCAGGAGAGGAGAGUGGAAUUCCCGGUGUAGCGGUGAAAUGCGUAGAGAUCGGGAGGAAUACCAGUGGCGAAGGCGGCCUUCUGGACUGACACUGACACUGAGGUGCGAAAGCGUGGGUAGCAAACAGGAUUAGAUACCCGAGUAGUC